UACGUAGGGGGCAAGCGUUGUCCGGAAUCAUUGGGCGUAAAGAGCGUGUAGGCGGCCCGGUAAGUCCGCUGUGAAAGUCCAGGGCUCAACCCUGGGAUGCCGGUGGAUACUGUCGGGCUCGAGUCCGGAAGAGGAGUGUGGAAUUCCUGGUGUAGCGGUGAAAUGCGCAGAUAUCAGGAGGAACACCGAUUGCGAAGGCAGCUCGCUGGGACGUCACUGACGCUGAGACGCGAAAGCGUGGGGAGCAAACAGG
rnacentral:rRNA from 1 species